rnacentral:rRNA from 1 species
UACGAAGGGGGCUAGCGUUGUUCGGAAUCACUGGGCGUAAAGGGCGCGUAGGCGGCCAUAUAAGUCGGGGGUGAAAGCCUGUGGCUCAACCACAGGAUUGCCUUCGAUACUGUAUGGCUCGAGACCGGAAGAGGUAAGUGGAACUGCGAGUGUAGAGGUGAAAUUCGUAGAUAUUCGCAAGAACACCAGUGGCGAAGGCGGCUUACUGGUCCGGUUCUGACGCUGAGGCGCGAAAGCGUGGGGAGCAAACAGG